rnacentral:rRNA from 1 species
GACGAACGCUGGCGGUAUGCUUAACACAUGCAAGUCGAACGAGACGAGAUGGAAGGAACCUUCGGGUGACGGAAAUCUUAGAAAGUGGCGAACGGGUGAGUAACGCGUGGGUAACCUGCCCUAUGGAAAGGAAUAGCCUCGGGAAACUGGGAGUAAUGCCUUAUAAUAUAGUGAAGUCGCAUGGCUUUGCUAUUAAACGCUCCGGUGCCAUAGGAUGGACCCGCGUCCCAUUAGCUAGUUGGUGAGAUAACAGCCCACCAAGGCGACGAUGGGUAACCGGUCUGAGAGGGCGAACGGUCACACUGGAACUGAGACACGGUCCAGACUCCUACGGGAGGCAGCAGUGGGGAAUAUUGCGCAAUGGGGGCAACCCUGACGCAGCAAUACCGCGUGAGUGAAGAAGGUUUUCGGAUCGUAAAGCUCUGUUAUUGGGGAAGAAAAAAGACGGUACCAAGAAGAAAGUCCCGGCUAACUACGUGCCAGCAGCCGCGGUAAACGUAGCGUG